rnacentral:lncRNA from 1 species
UCCAUCAUCCAUCUAUAUCUGUAUAUACUUGAUUUGUGGUGACAUUAUCUCUUUAUGUAGCCUUGGCUGUCCUGGAACUCUCUCUGUAGACCAGGCUGUCCUCAAAUUCAAAGAUCCACCUGCCUCUGCCUCCUGAGUGCUGGUAUUAAAGGUAUUAAAAGUAUGUGCCACCACUGCCUGGUUCUGGCUUCUCUAUCUAUUAACAAAACCUGAAACAUUACCAAUGAAGUAUUUGAUCCUUGAGUGAAAUCAUGAUCACACAUAUUUCAUUGUUUUUUUCCCUUCCUUUACCAUCAGACUGGCUUUACCAGGCAGCAGGUCCAACACACAGCAUUUGGACACCGUCUUUGGGGCUGGCGAUGACCCAGUGGUUAAGAACGUUUGUGGCUCUUGCAGAAGACCUAGGUUCCAUUCUCAGCACCCAUGUUGGACAGCUCAUGACCUGUUAACUCCAGUUAUAGGGGAUCAGAUGCCCUCUUCCAG